rnacentral:lncRNA from 1 species
UAUAAAAUAAUACCUAAAUUCCUAAACUAAAAGAAGGAGAGCAACGGCGGAAGACCAUCGAUCCCCAUUUUCCUAACUCUAGGAAACUCCUGCGGCCCCGUUUUCUUCUUCUUCAACCAAGAGCACACCCUCACAAAACAGAGGACACCCAUUCAUCUUCUUCACACCCCAUUAAAAAUCAAACACCUCAAAAACAAGCCACCAAACACCACCUCAAAUCCUCCCAAACCAUCCCCUGUUUUCUGCCAUAAAAGGCCAUAAAAGCCAGCUCACAACCCAGCAAAAACAGCCCCAAAUUCAGCCAAGAAACACCCCUAAACUACAGCAAAACAAGCUGUGAAACAGCUAGGAAAAGCAGCGAAAAUCAGCUGCAAGAUACUCCAAAUCGCAACCCCUCUUCUCCCUUAAAAUCACCCAACAAAUCAGCCAAAUUAAUUGAACAAAAUAGCACCAAACCACCCCGAAACAGCCACUUUUACUAUGUCAAAAGAGAGGAUACCGGCGAGUUCAGGCUCCUUGUUUGAAGUCGGCGUUCGAGUCACUUGAGGUUCGAAAGCUCUGGUCCGAGAUUUUGUUGUUGUUCGAAUUUUUGUAUUCUCGAGUUCGACUUUUGGUUGUGGUUCGAUUUUCUUUUGCUUGUUGAACUCAGCACCUCAGGACAAUAUUUGUUGUAAGCGGAUUCAUAGCAUUCUCCACAUAUAUUAAAGGAAAAUUAUUUCAGGUCCAUCCCUUCCCUUUCUUCUAUUUGUUUGCUUUUAAUGUGUUGUGUAGGAAUAUUGAAAGAGCCAUUACAAAAUAGAAUUGGAAUUCUAAUUUGUAAGUAGUGAGAUGUUGGUUGUGAUGGAGAUAUUCACAUUAUUAAUAUUGAGGUUAAAAUUGAUUAAAAUUUAUGAGACUUUCAUGAAUAGUCUGCAUAAUAUUUGGUUCUUAUCGAAGCCUGGUCUAACUUAGUUUUGUUCACGCAUGCGAUUUUGAUAUUUGGAUCUUGUUCUUCUUAUGAAUCUGCGCUUGAUUGCUGAAGCAUCUAGUAGAUGAAAACAAUAAUACUUGCUUUCAAAAAAUUUGUUUCUAAACAUGGAAUAUGUGGGAAAAUCUCAUUUGUAUCUUGGGAGAUUACUCUAAAAUGAACGAGCUUCUUAACAUUAGAAUAACAUUUUCUUCAUGAUAAAUGGAUUAAAAAUGGUUAAAAGUGAGGAUCUACUAUAUUUUUUAUGAUUAAGAUUUGGUGAGUAGGACAAGUAAUUGGUUUGUUAAGAAAAAAUUGUAAAUUCAAGUUUGAUUAAAUAUGAUCCUUAGUAACUAAUACAUUGAAGGAUUAGGAAAAUUGGGGUGGUCAGAAAUAUUAUAAUGGCUUUGGUAUAUUUUUCACUUAUUUGUCUCUAGCCUUUUGGAAUUUUGUUUAUCUAUUCAUUUGAUCUCCCUUUCAAUGGUUUGAGUUUUUAGUUGCUGGAUGACAAUUUUAUUUGUUUGGACAUUUGUGUGGAACGUGACGGGUAUAUGGGAAGGGGGAAGAUUGAGUCUGUAGUAAUUUCAUCCUGCUUCACAUGCUUUAGGAUUGGAUUCGGUCGAAGUGCUUGAAAUAAGCAAUUUAAAAGGGAAUGAGCAUGAAAUAUCUUCUAAUAAAGGUACUCCAUAAUUACAUGCCUUCUCACACACAAUAAUCUCGAAUAUAGAAUAACAAUUCAUAAACCUCGUAGCUUGCUUUAGGCGCGAUUAAUAAAUAAAUCAUCAUGACUAUGGGUACGGUUCCCGUGACGUAGUUAUGAUACCUAAUCCCCAAAAUCGGGUGUGCAUUUCACUUAACAACUUCGAAUAAUAACAAAAUACACAUGUCGUGAAUUAUAGGUGCAUUUCAUGUAGCGUUGCUUGCGGUGUGUUCCAAAACGACAAGUAUACGACAAUUGUAACUUAUUCAAGAAAUAAUUCCAUAACUCUUAAAGCGGUUAAAAUAAUAAAAAGUGGUUAUAAAGUCAAAAUGCACAAUAGGUUUUAAAACAUGUAUAAAUCAUAUAAUAGGCCAAUUAUUAAUAGUUUAAGCGACCGUGCUAGAACCACGGAACCCAGGAGUGGCUAACUCCUUCUCCCGGGUUAACAGAAUUCCUUAUCUAGAAUUUUUGCUUUGCAAACUUUUUAAUAAAGUCAAAUUUCCUCGACUUGGGAUUUUAAAAUAAGCCGAUGACUUUGGACACCAAUUAAAAUAUUCCAAGUGGUGACUCUGAAAAAUUAAAUAAAUUAAUCUCAUUUCGAUUUAUGUCACUUUAAUUGGAAAACUCCCUUAUAUUACCCUCGGGUGGUAAAACAAUGAGGUGUGACACCCAGUAUCCACAAACCACUACCUAUCACACUCCUCAGAAUGCAUCACAACCUUUCCCCGAUCCUCAAAACUCAACCAACGACCACCACUAUACCUAAAUCCCGAGAGUCCAUCAAAGCAACCUCAUAUACGUAGAAACCUUACCCCACACUCCACAACAAACCUUAUACAUACCUGAAUCCACCGAAAAGGACCUGCUCAUCAAGAACAUGGCAGAGGAACUUAAGAAUCUCACAAGUCGAGUCCAAGGUGUCGAAAGGGGUAAAGGUAUUGAGGGAUUGAACUAUGAGGAUCUCUGCAUUCAGCCGGACGUAGAACUGCCAGAGGGUUACAAACCUCCUAAGUUCGAGAAGUUUGAUAGAACAGGUGACCCAAAGGUACAUCUAAGGACAUACUGUGACAAGCUCGUAGGAGUUGGAAAGGAUUCACAUGAAAUUAUUCACGAGGAGACUCACUAGAGACGCCCUAUCUUGGUACAUUAGUCAAAAUCCAAUGAAAUGCGUUAAUUGGGUAAGCAUGACAUCGGAUUUCAUGGAUCAGUUUAGGUUUAAUACAGAGAAUGCACCAGAUAUCUUCUAUAUCCAAAACCUCAAGAAAAAUCCAAUAGAGACUUUCUGCGAGUAUGCUACUCGGUGGAGAUCGGAAGCUGCGAAAGUGAGGCCGGCAUUAGAGGAAGAGCAAAUGAACAAAUUCUUUGUUCGGGCCCAGGAUCCACAACACUAUGAGAGGUUAAUGGUUAUUGAGAAUCACAAGUUCUCUGACAUCACUAAAUUAGGGGAAAGGAUUGAAGAAGGAAUCAAGAGCGGAAUGGUAACUAAUUUUGAGGCAUUACAGGCUACGAACAAAGCUUUGUAGUCAGGGGGUAAAUCCAAAAAGAAAGAUGUAGGAGCCGUGAUGGUAGCCCAAGGACUAAAAUCUCUUCUUACAUACCAAACCCCACCACCCACAUAUCAGCCUUUACCUCCCAAAUACCAACAACCUGCCACCACCUACCAUACUUAUAAUGCACAACCUGCAUAUUACCACUCCUUACCACCAGCCCACCAAAACUACCAGAAACCCAAACCAAAUUUUGACCGUAGACCACCCAGACAAUAUACUCCCAUUGCUGAACCCAUUGAUCAGCUUUAUGAAAGGUUGAAGGCUGCCAGUUAUGUCACCCUCAUUCCCGUUGUUGCUAUGAAAAACUCUUCCUAGUGGGCCAAUCCAAACAAAACAUGUGCCUAUCACUCGGGAAUGAAAGGAAACACUAUUGAUGAAUGUCGCACUUUGAAGGAUAAGAUCCAGACGUUGAUUGACACCAAAGUUAUACAAGUAAAAGAGGUUGCACCAAAUAUCCGCAAUAACCCCCUCCCAGAUCAUAGGCGCAAGAGGGUAAAUGUGAUCAAAACUAAUGAAGAAUGGGAUCCGUAAGGAUCAAUUGGACUCAUUCGUGAAGGGGAUAAAACCACCAUACCUCCAGUCACUCUCACACCCAUUAUAGUGCAAAUUCAGUCACCAAUUGAGGUUGAAAUACCACGCCAGCUCCGUUUGAGGUUAAAACAACAAUGCACAUAACCGCACCAGCUCCAUUUGAAGUGGAGGUGACUGCACCCUUCACUGUGACGGUAGCACCCACACCAUCCUUAAUUCCAAUGCUAUAACAUGGGACUAUGCUGCAAAGGCGACGAGGAAAGGAAACGGGAAAAUGGAAGAGACAAGUGUCGCACAAGGCAUGACCAAGACCGGUAGGGUUUAUACACCUAAGCAUUUGGGAGUAAAAAGUAAAGAAGAUUCUCUCAAACAACCUAUCAUUGAAGCCGGCCAGAUAAGGUGCAAGCAAGGGAGUACUGUGUAGUGGACCAUUUGAACAAAACCCUUGCUCAGAUUUCCAUUCUGUCACUGCUUCAAAAUUCUGAGAUGCAUAGGAAUGCGUUAAUGAAAGUAUUGAACGAAGCUUACGUGCCCAACAACAUCACUAGUGGAGAGAUGGACAACAUGGUAGAAAAAGUAUUGGAGAGCCACAAAAUCACCUUUCAGGAAGACGAACUACCACCUGAAGGACUGAGUCACAACAGGGCACUGCACAUCAUAGUACAGUUUGAGGACAAAUUCAUAGCCAGAGUCCUAAUAGAUGGGGGUUCGAGCCUCAACAUUUGUCCGUUGACUACUUUGAAAAGGUUGGCAAGGAUUUCCAUGAGAUACGAGCAGGGAGUAUGAAUGUGAAAACAUUUGAUGGGUCUCAAAGGGACAUAAUUGGAGAAAUCAACCUUUGUUUUCAGAUUGGCCUGACUUGGUUUGGUGUUGAGUUUCAUGUAUUGGACAUAUCCGCCACGUACAAUCUGCUGUUGGGACGACCUUGGAUAUAUGUUGCUGGAGCCGUAGCUUCUACGCUACACCAGGCCGUGAAGUUCGAUUGGAACCAUCAGGAGGUGAUCAUUUAUGGAGACGGAAGUAAUCCCAUUUACACCAAUCAAACCAUUCCGGUUAUCGAGAAUAGAAGGAAGUUGGGUGGAGAAAUGUAUCAUCGCAUCGAGUGUAUCAAUGCAAUAGAGAAAGACAAGUGGUGGAGUAAUAAGAUUGAAAACAUACUAUUAUGGACAGGGUAUGAACCUGGUAAAGGUCUCGACAAGAAUCUCCAAGGUAUCACUAAGCCAAUACAACCAAAACGCCACGGUAACACCUUUGGAAUUGGAUAUCAUUACACCUCGCAGUAGUAUGAUGAUUGGCCGCCGCCAUGGCAUGGUCCCUAUUACCCUCUUGAACCGCCAAUACCGCAUCUGCAUCAGACAUUUCAACAGACUGACGUGAUAUGGGGGUCUGAAAAAGAUGAGGCUUUAGCUGGCCUAAGGAAUCUAUUUCUAGACGAUGAAGACAUGGACUGCAAUGCAAUAGUUGAGGAGGAGGAGGAAGACCUUACAAUCCAGAUCGUGGGACAGGGAGCUGUUCUCAAGAAUUGGACUAUUGCACCAUCCCGGGCCCGUCGAGUUCCUGGGUAGCCUGCCAAUUAGCAUGAUCUAUUUUUUAAAAGCAAUUUUAAGCAUUUAAGAUAUUUUCAAUAUUUUGUUUAGACGCAUUUUGUUUUGAAAUAAUUGCUCGAGUUAUCGGGUCGUACUUGUUUUAAUGUUCUCAAGAUUUAUCGAAUGCAUUGUUAUUUUAAUAUUUAUUAAUAUCUUUUAAAUUUUCUCUCUACAACAUUAUUAUUAUUUAUCUUGAUGAACCAAUGACUGUGACAUGUAAUGAGACAAUGCAACAUAAGGAUAGUGAUUCGGAAGAGAUAGACGAAGAGGAUGUGAUACCCGAGGAAAUUGUCAGAGAAGUUGAGAAUUUUGAGAAUAAGUCAAAGUCCAACCUAGACGAAACUGAAAUAGUCAACUUAGGAGAUUCCAUAACAGCCAAAGAAACUCGCAUAAGUAUCCACUUGUCACCAUGAGAAAAAGAAGAAUACACCUGUUUCCUAAAGGAGUAUGAAGACAAGACAUUUUUGCAUGGUCUUAUGAUGAUAUGACUGGUUUGAGCACAUCUAUAGCGGCUCAUAAACUACCUACCGAUAUGAUGUGUCUGCCUGUAAAAUAGAAACUCAGAAAGUUCACGCCUAAUAUGAGUCUGAAAAUCAAAGAGGAAGUCACCAAGCAGAUCAAAGCUAAGGUUCUCAGAGUGGUUGAAUACCCUACUUGGUUGACCAAUAUCGUGCCAGUUCCGAAGAAGGAUGGGAAAGUCAGGGUGUGUGUCGACUAUCGAGACCUAAACAAAUCAUGUCCCAAAGAUGAUUUCAUGUUACCCAAUAUACAUAUGUUGAUUGAAAAUUGUGCCAAACAUGAACUCCAAUCCUUUGUGGAUUGCUUCGCGGGAUACCAUCAGAUCUGGAUGGACGAGGAAUAUGCCGAGAAAACAGCCUUUAUCACUCUGUGGGGGAUGUAUUGUUAUAAAAUGAUGUCAUUUGGUAUGAAGAAUGUUGGAGCCACUUACAUGAGAGUCAUGACGACCAUUUUCCAUGAUAUGAUUCACAAAGAAAUAGAGGUGUACGUGGAUGACAUCAUCAUCAAAUCUAGAAGAAGCACAAAUCAAAUAGCAGAUUUAAGGAAAUUCUUUAAUCGGCUUCGAAGGUAUAAUCUAAAACUGAAUCCUACAAAGUGUGUCUUCAGAGUCCCUACUAGAAAAUUGCUAGGUUUCAUCGUCAGUCGUCGAGGGAUUGAAUUAGACCCUUCAAAGGCCAAAGCAAUACAAGAUUUUCCACCUCCGAAAAGGAAGAAAGAUGUGAUGAGUUUCUAGGGGCGUCUCCAUUACAUCAGCCGAUUCAUAGCACAAUCGACCAUGAUCUGUGAGCCAAUUUUCAAAAUGCUGAAGAAAGAUGCUGCAACAAAAUGGACUGAAGAAUGUCAGAAAGCCUUUGACAGAAUCAAGGAAUACCUAUCCAUACCACCAGUCUUGGUCCUGCCGGAACCUGGUAGACCUCUGCUACUCUAUUUGUCCGUACUAGAUGGAGCUUUCGGUUGUGUCUUGGGACAACAUGAUGAGAUGGGAAGAAAGGAAUAGGCCAUAUACUAUCUGAGUAAGAAGUUCACACCUUUUGAGGCAUGGUAUUCUUUGUUGGAACACACUUGCUGUGUCCUGACGUGGAUAACUCAGAAAUUGAGGCACUACUUUUGUGCCUACACUAUAUAUCUCAUAUCAAGGAUGGAUCCUAUGAAGUGCAUCUUUCAGAAACCAAUGCCUACAGGGAAACUAGCCAAAUAGUAGAUAUUGUUAAGUGAGUUUGAUAUUAUCUAUAUGACUCAAAAGGCAGUCAAAGGACAGACACUAGCAGAUCAUCUUGCGGAAAAUCAUGUGGGAGGGGAAUACGAACCAUUGAAAACAUAUUUUCCCGAUGAAGAAGUGUCAUUUGUAGGAGAAGAUAUUACCAAAGCCUAUGAUAGUUGGAGAAUGUUCUUCGACGGAGCUGCAAAUUUUAAAGGAGUAGGUAUUAGAGCAGUUUUGGUGAGAGGUCAACAUUAUCCGGUAUCCGCGAAGCUCAGGUUUUCGCGCACCAACAAUAUGGCAGAAUAUGAGGCUUGCAUUAUGGGGCUCAAUUUGGCCAUCGACAUAAAUAUACAGGAAUUGUUGGUAAUUGGUGAUUCAGAUCUUCUGGUACAUCAGGUUCUAGGAGAGUGGGCUACCAUGAAUUCCAAGAUAUUGCCAUAUUUAUAUCACGUACAAGAGUUGAUGAAAAGAUUCACAAAGAUAGAAUUCAAACAUGUUUCGAGAAUCCAGAAUGAGUUUGCAGAUGCGCUAGCCACUUUGUCGUCCAUGAUACAGCAUCCGGACAAGAAUUUCAUCUAUCCUAUUCUAGUGAGAAUCCAUAAUCAGCCAGCUUAUUGCGCUCAUGUUGAAGAAGAAACAGAUGGGAAUCCAUGGUACCAUGAUAUCAAAGAAUACUUGGCAAAAGGAGAAUACCCAGAGCAUGCAAAUCAUACUCAGAAAUGCACGCUCCGGAGAUUGUCCAAUCAUUUCUUCCAAAGUGGAGGAAUUUUGUAUAGAAGAACUCCAGACCUAAGGUUAUUACGGUGUGUCGACACCAAAGAAGCUUCCAGACUGCUCGAGGAAAUACACGGUGGAACCUACGGAUCGCACAUGAAUGGUUUCGUUCUAGCCAAGAAGAUAUUAAGAGCAGGAUACUUUUGGAUGACUGUGGAAACAGACUGUAUCAGGUAUGUCCAGAAGUAUCACUAGUGUCAGGUACAUGCAGAUAUGAUACGGUACCACCAAAUGAACUCAAUGCAACAAGUGCACCUUGGCCUUUCGCCGCUUGGGGAAUAGAUGUCAUCGGUCCGAUCGAGCCCGCCGCUUCAAACGGGCACAGAUUCAUUUUAGCGGCCGUAGACUACUUCACAAAAUGGGUUGAGGCUGCAUCUUACAAGGCUGUAACAAAGAAAGUCAUCGUAGAUUUUGUCAAGGACGUAUUGUUUGCCGAUUCGGGGUACCAGAAUCCAUCAUUACCAACAAUGCCACCAAACUCAAUAGCGAUUUAAUGAAAGCUAUGUGUGAAACCUUCAAGAUCAAGCAUAAGAAUUUCACAGCAUACAGACCUCAAAUGAAUGGAGCCGUGGAAGCCGCCAACAAAAACAUCAAGAAAAUCCUGAGAAAAAUGGUAGACAACCACAAUCAAUGUCACGAGAAAUUACCAUUUGCCUUAUUGGGAUAUCGUACCACAGUUCACACAUCAAUCGGAGAAACUCCCUACAUUCUAGUUUACGGUACUGAGGCUGUCAUUCUCGUCGAGGUCAAGAUUCCUUCUUUGAGAAUUAUAUAGGAAGCAGAACUUAGUGAUGCAGAAUGGAAAAGGAGUCGCUAUGAAUAAUUGGCUCUUAUCGACGGAAAAAGAAUGAAUGCAGUAUGUCAUAGUCAACUGUAUCAAAACAGAAUGUCCAAAGCUUUCAACAAUAGGGUCAAACCUAGACAGUUCACUCUGGGGAAGCUGGUGAUGAAAUGAAUCUUCCCACAUCAAGAUGAAGCCAAAGGGAAAUUUUCACCUAAUUGGCAAGGGCCCUACAUAGUUCACAGGGUACUAACAGUAGGAGCACUCAUUCUUGCAGAAAUAGAUGGAGAAGUUUGGCCAAAGCUAUCAAUUCGGACGCAGUCAAGAGAUAUUAUAUUUAAAUUAUUUACAUUUCUUUUGAUGUAACUGAACUACGCUUGACCUGCUUCCCGUUUAAGAGAGGAUACGUAGGCAGCCCUGUGGGUUCGGUCACAUCUCAAUAAAAUUUUCAUUUUCCCCACAACCAGAAACUAGGGCAGAAUUUUGAGGACCCUAAAAAUUCCGGAGCAAGUCCAACCGAAGUCAUCAUAUGCAAGACAAUCAGAGAAUCGGUUAAGUAAAUGGGGCAGAAUUUUGAGAAGGAUUCUCAAAAUUCCGAAGCAAAUCCAACAAACUUUGUCGCAUGCAAAACGGCCGAAGAAUCUCUUACUAAACUGGGGCAGAAUUUUGAGGAGGACCCUCAAAAUUCUAAUGCAAAGAAGUCGCAAUGUCUCUAAAAUUGUCGCAGUCAUUAGUUCAUCUAAUUUACUUGAUAUUACAUACUACUAUGUUUUAAAAUAAAUAUGUUUAUCAAAUGCAUGCAUACUUUUUGAAAACUUCAUUUCUAUGAAAGCCAGAUGUUACCCAUGGUAACUUGAACAGGAUCUCCUGAGAAAAGUAAAGCAAAACAAGUAGGCAAAGGCAUGGACCAACCUUCCCUACAAAACUCAUGAUUUUUCUUUGGAUGCAGGCACAAUGAACAUGACAGGAGCAUUCGCAAGUAUACACGUACCAAAAUCACUAUCUUUAUAAUGGCAAGGCUGCCAAACGCAAAUAUGUCUCCAGAUAAGAAAAUAUUCUGCCACUACUUAUUAUUUGUUCAAUGCAUAAGGCUAAGCCAUGCCUCCUCAAUUGCAUAAGGCUAAGCACUGCCUUCCAUUGCAUUAGACUAAGCAUUGUCUCCUCUUUUUGCAUGAGGCAAAAGUAUGCCUCCUCAAUUACAUAAGGCUAAGCAUUGCCUUCCAUUGCAUGGGACUAAGCAUU